GACGAACGCUGGCGGCGUGCUUAACACAUGCAAGUCGAGCGAGGCCCCUCCUUCGGGAGGGUGUCCUAGCGGCGAACGGGUGAGUAACACGUGGGCAACCUGCCCUCAGCUCUGGGAUAACUCCGGGAAACCGGGGCUAAUACCGGAUACGACCUCCACGGGCAUCUGCGGAGGUGGAAAGUUUUUCGGCUGAGGAUGGGCCCGCGGCCUAUCAGCUAGUUGGUGGGGUAGUGGCCCACCAAGGCGACGACGGGUAGCCGGCCUGAGAGGGCGACCGGCCACACUGGGACUGAGACACGGCCCAGACUCCUACGGGAGGCAGCAGUGGGGAAUAUUGCGCAAUGGGCGAAAGCCUGACGCAGCGACGCCGCGUGAGGGACGAAGGCCUUCGGGUUGGAAACCUCUUUCAGCAGGGACGAAGCGAAAGUGACGGUACCUGCAGAAGAAGCACCGGCCAACUACGU
rnacentral:rRNA from 1 species